rnacentral:rRNA from 1 species
UGGGGAAUUUUGGACAAUGGGCGAAAGCCUGAUCCAGCAAUGCCGCGUGUGUGAAGAAGGCCUUCGGGUUGUAAAGCACUUUUGUCCGGAAAGAAAUCCUUGGCUCUAAUACAGUCGGGGGAUGACGGUACCGGAAGAAUAAGCACCGGCUAACUACGUGCCAGCAGCCGCGGUAAUACGUAGGGUGCAAGCGUUAAUCGGAAUUACUGGGCGUAAAGCGUGCGCAGGCGGUUUGCUAAGACCGAUGUGAAAUCCCCGGGCUCAACCUGGGAACUGCAUUGGUGACUGGCAGGCUAGAGUAUGGCAGAGGGGGGUAGAAUUCCACGUGUAGCAGUGAAAUGCGUAGAGAUGUGGAGGAAUACCGAUGGCGAAGGCAGCCCCCUGGGCCAAUACUGACGCUCAUGCACGAAAGCGUGGGGAGCAAAACAGGAUUAGAUACCCUGGUAGUCCACGCCCUAAACGAUGUCAACUAGUUGUUGGGGACUUCAUUUUCCUUAGUAACGUAGCUAACGCGUGAAGUUGACCGCCUGGGGAGUACGGUCGCAAGAUUAAAACUCAAAGGAAUUGACGGGG